AAACUACAAAGGAAUUGACGGGACCCGCACAAGCGGUGGAUGAUGUGGUUUAAUUCGAUGCAACGCGAAAACCUUACCCACCUUUGACAUGGCAGGAAUCCUAAAGAGAUUUUGGAGUGCUCGAAAGAGAACCUGCACACAGGUGCUGCAUGGCUGUCGUCAGCUCGUGUCGUGAGAUGUUGGGUUAAGUCCCGCAACGAGCGCAACCCUUGCCAUUAGUUGCUACGAAAGGGCACUCUAAUGGGACUGCCGGUGACAAACCGGAGGAAGGUGGGGAUGACGUCAAGUCCUCAUGGCCCUUAUAGGUGGGGCUACACACGUCAUACAAUGGCCGGUACAGAGGGUAGCCAACCCGCGAGGAGGAGCCAAUCCCACAAAGCCGGUCGUAGUCCGGAUCGCAGUCUGCAACUCGACUGCGUGAAGUCGGAAUCGCUAGUAAUCGCGGAUCAGCAUGUCGCGGUGAAUACGUUCCCGGGUCUU
rnacentral:rRNA from 1 species